rnacentral:lncRNA from 1 species
AGGCAGAGGGAGAAGCAGGCUCCAUGCACCGGGGGCCGACGUGGGAUUUGAUCCCGGGUCUCCGGGAUCGCGUCCUGGGCCAAAGGCAGGCGCCGAACCGCUGCGCCACCCAGGGAUCCCCCAAGUCUCUUUCUAAAGAAGCUUAAUUUCAGCAGCAACAUGGAGGCGGCANCGACGUGGGAUUCGAUCCCGGGUCUCCGGGAUCGCGCCCUGGGCCAAAGGCAGGCGCCAAACCGCUGCGCCACCCAGGGAUUCCCCAAGUCUCUUUUUAACGAAGCUUAAUUUAAGCAGAAACAUACAGGAGGAGGAAAAUGUCAGCUACCCCAUGAAGGAGGCACCCAGAGAGAAUGUACACUGACCAUCCACUGCUGAGGGCCGUGAACAUUCCAGUAUAUCUCCCCAAUACCUGCCAUCCUGGCCUUCUGUCUUUUAAGCGGGUGACUGUCAAUGGGGAAUGGAGCCCUAUCAGGAAAGCACAUUUUUCUCUCAAAUAUCUUGAUGAAAUGCAACAGACUGUCUCAGGAAACUUUGUCCCUCCUGCCUAUAAUCCCUGGGAGAUGAUGUAUGAGCAUUCUGGACCCAGUUUUUUGGAAGCGUGUUGUGACAAAGGAAGAUCCAUCUCAUGAAUGAAGAAGCAUCCAGGGACACAUUCUUCUGGACUAACAAAUUCUGGGAAGGCCAGACAUGGUACCCAUUUCUAAAGUGGCCCGAUGUUAAAAUAAAGUGUGC